AUUGAACGCUGGCGGCAUGCCUUACACAUGCAAGUCGAACGGCAGCGGGGGAGAAGCUUGCUUUUCCUGCCGGCGAGUGGCGAACGGGUGAGUAAUACAUCGGAACGUGCCCUGUAGUGGGGGAUAACUAGUCGAAAGAUUAGCUAAUACCGCAUACGACCUGAGGGUAAAAGUGGGGGACCGCAAGGCCUCAUGCUAUAGGAGCGGCCGAUGUCUGAUUAGCUAGUUGGUGGGGUAAAGGCCUACCAAGGCGACGAUCAGUAGCUGGUCUGAGAGGACGAUCAGCCACACUGGGACUGAGACACGGCCCAGACUCCUACGGGAGGCAGCAGUGGGGAGUUUUGGACAAUGGGCGAAAGCCUGAUCCAGCAAUGCCGCGUGUGUGAAGAAGGCCUUCGGGUUGUAACGCACUUUUGUCCGGAAAGAAAUGGCUCUGGUUAAUACCUGGGGUCGAUGACGGUACCGGAAGAAUAAGGACCGGCUAACUACGUGCCAGCCGCCGCGGUAA
rnacentral:rRNA from 1 species